ACGAACGCUGGCGGCGUGCCUAAUACAUGCAAGUCGAGCGGACCGACGGGAGCUUGCUCCCUUAGGUCAGCGGCGGACGGGUGAGUAACACGUGGGUAACCUGCCUGUAAGACUGGGAUAACUCCGGGAAACCGGGGCUAAUACCGGAUGCUUGAUUGAACCGCAUGGUUCAAUCAUGAAAGGCGGCUUCGGCUGCCGUUUACAGAUGGACCCGCGGCGCAUUAGCUAGUUGGUGAGGUAACGGCUCACCAAGGCGACGAUGCGUAGCCGACCUGAGAGGGUGAUCGGCCACACUGGGACUGAGACACGGCCCAGACUCCUACGGGAGGCAGCAGUAGGGAAUCUUCCGCAAUGGACGAAAGUCUGACGGAGCAACGCCGCGUGAGUGAUGAAGGUUUUCGGAUCGUAAAGCUCUGUUGUUAGGGAAGAACAAGUACCGUUCGAAUAGGGCGGUACCUUGACGGUACCUAACCAGAAAGCCACGGCUAACUACGUGCCAGCAGCCGCGGUAAUACGUAGGUGGCAAGCGUUGUCCGGAAUUAUUGGGCGUAAAGCGCGCGCAGGCGGUUUCUUAAGUCUGAUGUGAAAGCCCCCGGCUCAACCGGGGAGGGUCAUUGGAAACUGGGGAACUUGAGUGCAGAAGAGGAGAGUGGAAUUCCACGUGUAGCGGUGAAAUGCGUAGAGAUGUGGAGGAACACCAGUGGCGAAGGCGACUCUCUGGUCUGUAACUGACGCUGAGGCGCGAAAGCGUGGGGAGCGAACAGGAUUAGAUACCCUGGUAGUCCACGCCGUAAACGAUGAGUGCUAAGUGUUAGAGGGUUUCCGCCCUUUAGUGCUGCAGCAAACGCAUUAAGCACUCCGCCUGGGGAGUACGGUCGCAAGACUGAAACUCAAAGGAAUUGACGGGGGCCCGCACAAGCGGUGGAGCAUGUGGUUUAAUUCGAAGCAACGCGAAGAACCUUACCAGGUCUUGACAUCCUCUGACAUCCCUAGAGAUAGGGCUUCCCCUUCGGGGGCAGAGUGACAGGUGGUGCAUGGUUGUCGUCAGCUCGUGUCGUGAGAUGUUGGGUUAAGUCCCGCAACGAGCGCAACCCUUGAUCUUAGUUGCCAGCAUUCAGUUGGGCACUCUAAGGUGACUGCCGGUGACAAACCGGAGGAAGGUGGGGAUGACGUCAAAUCAUCAUGCCCCUUAUGACCUGGGCUACACACGUGCUACAAUGGACAGAACAAAGGGCAGCGAAGCCGCGAGGCUCAGCCAAUCCCACAAAUCUGUUCUCAGUUCGGAUCGCAGUCUGCAACUCGACUGCGUGAAGCUGGAAUCGCUAGUAAUCGCGGAUCAGCAUGCCGCGGNUGGAUACGGUUUCCGGGGCUUGUACACACCGCCCGUCACACCACGAGAGUUUGUAACACCCGAAGUCGGUGAGGUAACCUUUUGGAGCCAGC
rnacentral:rRNA from 1 species